rnacentral:rRNA from 1 species
UCAUUACCGAGUGCGGGCCCUCGCGGCCCAACCUCCCACCCUUGUCUCUAUACACCUGUUGCUUUGGCGGGCCCACCGGGGCCACCUGGUCGCCGGGGGACGUCGUCCCCGGGCCCGCGCCCGCCGAAGCGCCCUGUGAACCCUGAUGAAUAUGGGCUGUCUGAGUACUAUGAAAAUUGUCAAAACUUUCAACAAUGGAUCUCUUGGUUCCGGCAUCGAUGAAGAACGCAGCGAAAUGCGAUAAGUAAUGUGAAUUGCAGAAUUCCGUGAAUCAUCGAAUCUUUGAACGCACAUUGCGCCCCCUGGCAUUCCGGGGGGCAUGCCUGUCCGAGCGUCAUUUCUGCCCUCAAGCACGGCUUGUGUGUUGGGUGUGGUCCCCCCGGGGACCUGCCCGAAAGGCAGCGGCGACGUCCGUCUGGUCCUCGAGCGUAUGGGGCUUUGUCACUCGCUCGGGAAGGACCUGCGGGGGUUGGUCACCACCAUAUUUUACCACGGUUGACCUCGGAU